rnacentral:rRNA from 1 species
AUUGAACGCUGGCGGCAGGCCUAACACAUGCAAGUCGAGCGAGCGGCGGACGGGUGAGUAAUGUAUGGGGACUGCCCGAUAGAGGGGGAUAACUACGGGAAACGGUAGCUAAUACAGCAUACUAUCGGAUACCCCCUAGGGGAUUAGAUAGUCGGUGAGGUAAUGGCUUACCUAGGCGACGCACCCGAGCUGGUCUGAGCGGAUGAUCAGCCACACUGGGAGUGAGACACGGCCCAGACUCCUACGGAGGCAGCAGUGGGGAAUAUUGCCCAAUGGGCGCAAGCCUGAUGCAGCCAUGCCGCGUGUAUGAAGAAGGCCCUAGGGUUGUAAAGUACUCUCAGUCGGGAGGCGUUACCGACAGAAGAAGCACCGGCUAACUCCGUGCCAGCCGCCGCGGUAAUAC